UGGGCUAUAGCUCAGUGGUACAGCAUUUACCUAGCAUGUGUAAGGUCCUGGGUUCAAUUCCUAGCACUGCAA
rnacentral:tRNA from 1 species